rnacentral:rRNA from 1 species
GACGGAGGGUGCAAGCGUUGUUCGGAUUGACUGGGCGUAAAGGGCGUGUAGGCGGUCGGCCAAGUCUGAUGUGAAAGCCCGAGGCUCAGCCUCGGAAGUGCGUCGGAAACUAGUCGGCUGGAGCGCGAUAGAGGAGGGUGGAAUUCCUGGUGUAGCGGUGAAAUGCGCAGAUAUCAGGAGGAACACCAAUUGCGAAGGCAGCUCGCUGGGACGUUACUGACGCUGAGACGCGAAAGCGUGGGGAGCAAACAGG